rnacentral:rRNA from 1 species
UACGAAGGGGGCUAGCGUUGCUCGGAAUUACUGGGCGUAAAGCGCACGUAGGCGGAUCUUUAAGUCAGGGGUGAAAUCCUGGAGCUCAACUCCAGAACUGCCUUUGAUACUGAAGAUCUUGAGUUCGGGAGAGGUGAGUGGAACUGCGAGUGUAGAGGUGAAAUUCGUAGAUAUUCGCAAGAACACCAGUGGCGAAGGCGGCUCACUGGCCCGAUACUGACGCUGAGGCACGAAAGCGUGGGGAGCAAACAGG